rnacentral:misc_RNA from 1 species
AAGACUAUAGACCUGCGGAGUACCUGCGGAGGGAUCAUUAACGUAUCUAUGAUGGGGUGCGGAGCGCCCUGCUCCGGUCGAACGGCCGUGCAGCGGGCGCGCCGCCCCCGUCCCACCUCACAAACCCACUGUGAACAUUCACCGGUGGAGGGGGCUCGGUCUGCGCCGUGUCCCCGAUGCCGAAUACCCAAACUCCAGUUGCAAAGAACGUCGUGCGGACUCGGUGCCGCCUAAAACAUG